rnacentral:lncRNA from 1 species
ACCCGUUCGUGUCAUGUUGACCUUUGGCUGCAUGAGUCAUACAAUAUGAAACUGGUCUUAUGGUUUUUGAAACGUAGCCAGCAUUUGUAAGGCUAAACCUUUUUCACAAACUGAGUUGAGAUGAAUCACCACCAGGCCACCAUUCCUCUUCAGAAGGAGAGUGCUUAACAGACGUUUGAAUCCCUUUGCCCUUUCCGAUGGUUUAAACACACACACACACACAGACACAAAAACAGACUAGGGGAAAAAAGGUUUGGCCUUAUCACAGAAUUUGUACUGUGCUGUACAAAUGUUUGCAAAUGCAAAACGUGUGCAUUUCUAGCGUGUUUCUACAUUCAUUAAUGCCGCCUUCAGGAGCAAUAUCGUGCAGGUAAAAUGCUGUUUGUGGCUUUCUGUUGCACAGUUAAAGCUGACCCACCUUAUGCACAAGACAAUCAGAUAUAAAUCUGUCCUCCUCAGGAUGCA